UGACUAUCUCUUCCGUCUCGAAAAAACGCCGUCGUUUGAAUUUAGACUCAAAUCUUUAACGGCAGUUAUGUCUCCGUCGACGGUGGCGAUUUUCGUCGGUCCAAUCUUAACGGUUGACGCCGCCGUAUCUCGCGCAAUUCACACGGCGGCGAAGCCAUUCCUCCCACCGUUUUUGCUCCUCCUCCUCGAAAUCUCAGCUGAUUUUAGAUUCUCCUUCCCUGUAUCCCUUUCCCUGCUCCUCUCCCCUCCAUUACGAGCUUUCCUCGUCCCGUUCCUCCUUGGCCUCCUCUUUGAUCUGAUCUUCGUCGGAAUCGUGAAAUUGAUCUUCCGUCGUGCUCGUCCCGCUUACAAUCACCCUUCAAUGUCCGCUGCUGUACCAGCUGAUCACUAUUCCUUCCCCUCUGGUCACGCGUCUCGCGUCUUUUUCGUUGCUGCAUCUGUUCACUUCUUCUCAGCUGUUGUAGAAGCUCCCAUGGUUAGUCCAAGCUACACUUUCUUAGAUGGAUGGGUUAGAGAUCAUAACGAUGGCGAUGUGAAAGGUGAGGUUGUGGUGGCUGUAUGGAUCUGGGCAACAUUGACUGCGAUUUCAAGGAUUCUCUUAGGGAGACAUUAUGUUCUCGAUGUAGCUGCUGGUGCUUGCUUAGGGAUUCUAGAAGCUCUCUUUGCUCUUCGAUUUCUGAGGUUUGAUGAAAAGAUCUUUGGAAGGUUGCAGGAGAUGUGUGUGCAAUUGGACCCACCCUGCAGUAUGUAAGAGUCUGUCUUCUACGUCUACACUCGUGGAGCAAACUGGGUGGAAGAUAUUAUUUUUAAAAUGGCUAUAAGUGAAGCUUGAAUGAAAGCUGUUUCUACAGCAAUUCCUGCAGGGAACUCUGUUGAUUAGACUGAGAAAACAGAGUCAAGCUUAGAUGGCAAGGAGGUGUAAAGUCCCGAUCUGAUUAUUCAGUUGACAUGACUCUUUCACGGUAAAAAUUCUCUCUUUCUAAGUUUUAUCCACCAUAUUGGUUCUCGGAUUGGUUCUUGAUGUUUACCAAAUAAACCCGAUACCAGAAGCAACCUGUUAUGAGUUUGGAGUGAGAGUAGGAGUGUGCUGUGAAUUAUGGGAUUGGUAUGUGUUGUUUUCCUUGGAUUGGUUCCUGUCAUCAUUUAUGAGGGAGUGUUUUUGAAUUAUGGGAUUGGUAUAUGUUGUUUUCUUUGUUGUUAUGUAUGCUGCAAAAGUAGAGGCACAGAAAGUAGGAUGGUACAUCAAGAACAAUGCCCACCAUUGGAAAACUCUUUUAUCAUGAGUUCACAUGGUUCUCUCCUGUAGAUAAAACAAGGACAUACCUUGUUUCAACCUUAA